rnacentral:misc_RNA from 1 species
GAUGAAGAACGCAGCGAAAUGCGAUAAGUAAUGUGAAUUGCAGAAUUCAGUGAAUCAUCGAAUCUUUGAACGCACCUUGCACCGUUUGGUAGUCCGAAGGGUACACCCGUUUGAGUGUCAUUGUAAUCUCACUUCUACAACUUUUAUGUUGUCGAAUGUGGACUUGGACGUCUGCCGUGUUUCAACGGCUCGUCUUAAAUGCCUGAGUGUACCCCGCUUUGCGGCGUAUUUGGUGUGAUAAACAUUUCACCGGAGUUUGGUCUUCUGACCGCGCUUUUGCAAUAGGUGGGCUCUAUGCUUUCCAACCGUCCCUUGUGGACAAAUCUUUGACAAUUUGACCUCAAAUCGGGUGGGACUACCCGCUGAACUUAAGCAUAUCAAUAAGCGGAGGA